rnacentral:rRNA from 1 species
GACGAACGCUGGCGGCGCGCCUAACACAUGCAAGUCGAACGGAGCUGAGAGAAGCUUGCUUUUCUUAGCUUAGUGGCGAACGGGUGAGUAACGCGUGAGUAACCUGCCCUGGAGUGGGGGACAACAGUUGGAAACGACUGCUAAUACCGCAUAAGCCCACGAUCCGGCAUCGGCUUGAGGGAACAGGAUUUAUUCGCUUCAGGAUGGACUCGCGUCCAAUUAGCUAGUUGGUGAGGUAACGGCCCACCAAGGCUACGUUUGGUAGCCGGACUGAGAGGUUGAACGGCCACAUUGGGACUGAGACACGGCCCAGACUCCUACGGGAGGGAGGAGUGGGGGAUAUUGCACAAUGGGGGAAACCAUGAUGCAGCGACGCCGCGUGGAGGAAGAAGGUUUUCGGAUUGUAAACUCCUGUCGUUAGGGACGAUAAUGACGGUACCUAACGAGAAAGCACCGGCUAACUACGUG